rnacentral:rRNA from 1 species
GCGGCGUGCCUAAUACAUGCAAGUCGAACGGGAAGCCUCUGACUUGUCUGAGGUGGAGAGUGGCGAACGGGUGAGUAACACGUAUGUGACCUGCCUCGAAGAUGGGGAUAACUGUUGGAAACGUGCAGCUAAUACCCAAUGCACUCGAUAAUUCGGUUUAUCGAGUAAAGCGCCCCUCACGGGGAUAGCGCUUCGAGAUGGGCCUGCGGCCUAUCAGCUAGUUGGUAGGGUAAUGGCCUACCAAGGCGAGGACGGGUAGGGGGCGUGAGAGCGUGACCCCCCACACUGGCACUGAGACACGGGCCAGACUCCUACGGGAGGCAGCAGUCGGGGAUAUUGCGCAAUGGACGAAAGUCUGACGCAGCGACGCCGUGUGAGUGAUGAAGGCCUUCGGGUUGUAAAACUCUUUUAUGGGGGAAGAGGAAGGACGGUACCCCAUGAAUAAGCGUCGGCUAACUACGUGCCAGCAGCCGCGGUACAACCGUAGGACGCAAGCGUUAUCCGGAUUUACUGGGCGUACAG